UACGGAGGAUGCAAGCGUUAUCCGGAAUGAUUGGGCGUAAAGCGUCCGCAGGUGGCUGUGUAAGUCUGCUGUUAAAGAGCAAAGCUUAACUUUGUAAAAGCAGUGGAAACUACACAGCUAGAGUACGGUCGGGGUAGAAGGAAUUCCUGGUGUAGCGGUGAAAUGCGUAGAGAUCAGGAAGAACACCGGUGGCGAAAGCGUUCUGCUAGACCUGUACUGACACUGAGGGACGAAAGCUAGGGGAGCGAAUGGG
rnacentral:rRNA from 1 species